CCUACGGGUGGCAGCAGUGGGGAAUAUUGCGCAAUGGGCGAAAGCCUGACGCAGCGACGCCGCGUGAGGGAUGAAGGUCUUCGGGUUGUAAACUUCUUUUGUCAGGGACGAAGCAAGUGACGGUACCUGACGAAUAAGCCACGGCUAACUACGUGCCAGCAGCCGCGGUAAUACGUAGGUGGCAAGCGUUAUCCGGAUUUAUUGGGUGUAAAGGGCGUGUAGGCGGGAAUGCAAGUCAGAUGUGAAAACUAUGGGCUCAACCCAUAGCCUGCAUUUGAAACUGUAUUUCUUGAGUGCUGGAGAGGCAAUCGGAAUUCCGUGGGUAGCGGUGAAAUGCGUAGAUAUACGGAGGAACACCAGUGGCGAAGGCGGAUUGCUGGACAGUAACUGACGCUGAGGCGCGAAAGCGUGGGGAGCAAACAGGAUUAGAUACCCCUGUAGUC
rnacentral:rRNA from 1 species